rnacentral:rRNA from 1 species
CAAUAGCGUAUAUUAAUGUUGUUGCAGUUAAAAAAGCUCGUAGUUGGAUUUCUGGUUGGACCGCGAUGCCGGACUCGCAAGGGUUCGUGAUUGUUGUGGUUUCCUUCCAUCCUCAGGUUUGCGCGUGCUGGCCUUAACUGGUCGGUGGGUGUGGUCCUGUCGUUUACUGUGAACAAAUUAGAGUGUUCAAAGCAAGGUGUACUUGAAUACAUUAGCAUGGAAUAAUAAGAUAGGACUUUGGUGGUUCUUUUUGUAUAUUUUGUUUGGUUUUGUCACGCCAAACGUAAAUAGAUUAAUAGGAGCAGUGGGGUAGUUCGUAUUCAAUUGUCAGAGGUGGAAAUUACUUGGUAUUUAUUAGAAGAACGAACUACUGCGAAAGACAUUGUCCAGGAUGUUUUCACUGAUCAAGAACGAAAGUU